rnacentral:misc_RNA from 1 species
AAGUCGUAACAAGGUUUCCGUAGGUGAACCUGCGGAAGGAUCAUUAUCACGUUCAUCCACGUAUCAACCAUUGUGAACUAGUAUUAGACCUUUGGAUUAAGAAAGGUAGUGUUAUGUUAAACCGUUAUCAAACAAUAAUGAUUGGAAAUUGUUGAGGUCUAAUGCGACCAAACAAAUUCGUUUGUUUACUUUCUGAUUCAAAGUGUAUUUUUUUCCAAUCAAUUAUUUCAUUAACCAUUUAAACCCAAAAUUUUUCUAAAUUUUGAACUGAUUUAAUUUCUUACUCUCUAAACAAGAGAAGAAAUAAAUGAUUACGAAACAUAAGAACAACUCUUAGCAACGGAUAUCUUGGUUCUC